UCGAGAAUCUUUCACAAUGGGGGCAACCCUGAUGGAGCGACGCCGCGUGGAGGAUUAAGGUCUUCGGAUUGUAAACUCCUGUCAUGCGAGAGCAAAGCCCGCGAGGGUCUGAUAGUAUCGCAAGAGGAAGAGACGGCUAACUCUGUGCCAGCAGCCGCGGUAAUACAGAGGUCUCAAGCGUUGUUCGGAAUCACUGGGCGUAAAGGGUGCGUAGGUGGCGUGGAAAGUCAGAUGUGAAAUCCGGGGGCUCAACCCCCGAAUUGCAUCCGAUACUACCGCGCUAGAGAACUGAAGGGGGAUCUGGAAUUCUCGGUGUAGCAGUGAAAUGCGUAGAUAUCGAGAGGAACACUAGUGGCGAAGGCGAGAUCCUGGGCAGUAUCUGACACUGAGGCACGAAGGCCAGGGGAGCGAACG
rnacentral:rRNA from 1 species